AAGACUUUGGAGACACCAGCAUUUCCAGUUGUUCUGUCACGAUCUUUUCUGGAGACUUUGAUUUGCAGUUCCAGCAGGACUCGAGCGACUGCCUCGUGCAUUUCCUUUUGAGGCUUCUCUCUUUUUUCUCCAAAGAACAAAUUGUGCGCAGCAAAAAGAAAGUUAUUAUUUGGUUGGCAGCUAAAGAUACUCCGCUCAAGAGAUGUGACGUGGAAAUACCAGGAAUAAAAUUUGGUCGAGUGAUUUGUAUGAGCAACAGUAUAGAUUGUGGAGAGACGAUGGGGAUUUGACUGCAGAGGACUAAAUCCAAGGUUCCACCGAGAUUUGAACUCGGAUUACCGGAUUCAGAGUCCAGAGUGCUAACCAUUACACCAUGGAACCUGAAGCUGAACUAGCAUUUCCUAAAGUCAUAGGUGACCUAUUUCUCCACUUUAGGUUCCUUCCCUCCGCCCCAUAGUUUGGGUGAUGGGUGCAUUCUGCUUUUCCUCUUGGAGGAUUAAGUCAAGAAGACGCUUACCUGCCACAUGCCUACAUUCAACACCUUUUACACCACAGUCUUAAUGGAAAACGUUGACUUCCAACUGUCAGGAGUCCUCUAAUCCUAAACCACUCCUUUCAAGUGCUUUAGGAGCUUGGCGCCCCGGGCCUCGGCCUCUAUUUCAUCAAUGGUAGACAAGUGAGAUUGUUAAACAAGACUGUGUGCCAGGUGCCAGGCACACAGUAUGCCAGGUUACCGUGUGCCAGUUUUUGUGACAAGUGUUUUCUAUUGUUACCUUACCUGUGAGGCUCACAACCACGCUGUGAGAUGGGACCCAUAAUCUCUAUUUUACAGGUGAGAAAUUUGAGUCAGAUACCUGAGAUGCUUUACUCCUUUUCGUUAUAGAUCUAAUUAUUUUCUCAAAAAUCGUUUUUACCAGGGUAACAUGUAGCGUUUUUAAGGACACGUUAUGGAAAGAUUUUACCGAAGUCACAGGGGAGCCACUUUGCUGUUUACAGAAAGCUGAAAUAAAUGCACUUGAACUACUGGGUUAGAGGAAGAUCCCAGCAACCCUAGGAUAGCAACUCAGGGAAAGAAGGGGAAGGGUAGACAAAGGUCCCUCUGGAGUUUCCCAGGACAGUGCAUAGCUCCCCUGGUCCUUCCACUGCCCUUCACCAAUGAGAAAUAUGUGCAGGGUAAACUUCCAAACGGACACAAAGAAAACUCCCUGCUUCUCCCUCGCAUAUCCCUUUGUGACACACACAGGAGCCCAUGUGAAAACACAAACACAGACACACACACACACACACACACACACACAGAAUCGGUUUCUGUGAACAAAACAAAACAAAAAGUCUGUGUUCCUUGUUUAAAGUGAUAGCUUCCUCACAGGACAAUGUCGUCUGUCAGUUAAAUUCGAAAGGGUUUUCAGAGACACAUAUCCACAACCUUCUAAGGAUUUAUUCUCUUUAUCUUGUGUCUCUACAAUUUGAGAAAGAAGGUAGGUUUCAGGACUAAUUUGGAAGGAAAAUCUGAAAUCAAAUAAGCUUUAUUUUUUUAAAAAAAAUGCCAGUUAUUUUUCCACUCCUUGAACUCUUCCCCGCCCCCCCCCCCUUUCAUUAAGCAGGCUCCCAGUCUUGGAGGUCUCUGCUCUGAACAGCUUUCUGUCCCCAACCCUUAUUCCUGGAGGAAACAGAAAGAACAUUUAAAAAAAGAAGAAGAAGAAGAAGAAGAUUAUUACCUGGGGAGAUGUAGCAUUUCAGAUGAUUCGGAAACGAACUUAGGUUCUAGGUUCGUUAAGAAAUGGGGACGGUUAAUUUGAAUCAUCUUAGAGCAUGAAAACCAAAUUUCUCGAGGGGGGAAAAAGCCAAAGGCCCGUACGGGGAUCGAAACCUCGACCCUGGCAUUAGUAGCAGCACGCUCUAACCAACUGAGCUAACCGGCCGACCGCAAAUCUGUGCUUUUGUUAUUCAUCUCACCCGCAUCCUCGCCCCUUCUCCGUGAAAGUAUUAAAUUCUUCAACGUAAUUCCUGUUUGUCUUACAGGGAGGAACAAUUUCUUAGUUGCUUUAGAGUCUUAAUAGAAAUAACGAGAAAUUUCCUCUUAACGCAAAAACAAAGCAAAAUGGCUGUAUUCGUAGACUUGAAAGAGGACGCUUAAACAUUUCAAACUGUGGCUAAUGGCCCAGCAAUUUAUGGAAAUAUUUGCUGCCUUCUGAAUGUCUAGUCAAUACAUGCAGACAAUGAAUCAGAUUCGGUGAAAUAUUAAUGAGUCUUUGCUUCGUAAAAGCCGCUCACUAAUACAACAUACAAAUUGGUACUUGAAGGAUAUUCCCAACGAGUCUGAUUCUCGAUGGUCCCAUGAUCGAGAUCGUCCCAGGUUUCUUAUGUCUAGAUCCUCAAUUUGGGAGUCUUCCUAUGUGUUCCUUCAGAUUCCUAAAGUGACCUCAAAUCAAAGGUCGCUUCGAAGACCUUGGUAUUGAAAAAUGCUAGAAAUGUGGUUCUAGUCACCAUUCCAGGGGCCGUUAAACCCAAUCGUUGUCUACUCAGCCAUUGUUUCCCAAA
rnacentral:tRNA from 1 species